rnacentral:rRNA from 1 species
GACGAACGCUGGCGGCGUGCUUAACACAUGCAAGUCGAGCGGUAAGGCCCUUUCGGGGGUACACGAGCGGCGAACGGGUGAGUAACACGUGGGUGACCUGCCCUCAGCUCUGGGAUAAGCCUGGGAAACCGGGUCUAAUACUGGAUAUGACUCCAUGACGCAUGUUGUGGGGUGGAAAGCCUUGUGCGGCUGAGGAUGGGCCCGCGGCCUAUCAGCUUGUUGGUGGGGUGAUGGCCUACCAAGGCGACGACGGGUAGCCGGCCUGAGAGGGCGACCGGCCACACUGGGACUGAGACACGGCCCAGACUCCUACGGGAGGCAGCAGUGGGGAAUCUUGCGCAAUGGGCGAAAGCCUGACGCAGCGACGCCGCGUGAGGGAUGACGGCCUCGUGUAAC